rnacentral:misc_RNA from 1 species
GUGGUUUUACGUAGCGCUGUUUGUAGUGUUUCUGGGGGUGUUGGUCUUUGGUUUUGGUUUUGGUGUCUUUUUGUUUGUCUGUUUUUGUGGCAUUGCCUUGUGGCUGCCUUGUGCUGCCUUGUGCGUUGCCGUGGCAGUACAAAACGGAUCGACGGCAACACUCGGACAGACCCAAGAACCCUUGCAGACAAUAGACGUCUUUGCUUGCUUUGAUGAAACCAAAUCAAAA